rnacentral:rRNA from 1 species
GCCUACGGAGCAGCAGUAGGGAAUCUUCCACAAUGGACGAAAGUCUGAUGGAGCAACGCCGCGUGAGUGAAGAAGGGUUUCGGCUCGUAAAGCUCUGUUGGUAGUGAAGAAAGAUAGAGGUAGUAACUGGCCUUUAUUUGACGGUAAUUACUUAGAAAGUCACGGCUAACUACGUGCCAGCAGCCGCGGUAAUACGUAGGUGGCAAGCGUUGUCCGGCUUUAUUGGGCGUAAAGCGAGUGCAGGCGGUUCAAUAAGUC